GAUGAAGAACGUAGCGAAAUGCGAUAAGUAAUGUGAAUUGCAGAAUUCAGUGAAUCAUCGAAUCUUUGAACGCACAUUGCGCCCGCCAGCAUUCUGGCGGGCAUGCUUGUUCGAGCGUCAUUUCAACCCUCAAGCUCUGCUUGGUGUUGGGGCCCUACGGUUGACGUAGGCCCUUAAAGGUAGUGGCGGACCCUCUCGGAGCCUCCUUUGCGUAGUAACUAACGUCUCGCACUGGGAUUCGGAGGGACUCUUGCCGUAAAACCCCCAAAUUUUUAAAGGUUGACCUCGGAUCAGGUAGGAAUACCCGCUGAACUUAAGCAUAUCAAUAAGCGGAGGA
rnacentral:misc_RNA from 1 species